GAUGAACGCUGGCGGCGUGCCUAAUACAUGCAAGUAGAACGCUGAAGGAAGGAGCUUGCUCUUUCCGGAUGAGUUGCGAACGGGUGAGUAACGCGUAGGUAACCUGCCUGGUAGCGGGGGAUAACUAUUGGAAACGAUAGCUAAUACCGCAUAACAGUAGAUGUUGCAUGAUAUCUACUUAAAAGGUGCAAUUGCACCACUACCAGAUGGACCUGCGUUGUAUUAGCUAGUUGGUGAGGUAACGGCUCACCAAGGCGACGAUACAUAGCCGACCUGAGAGGGUGAUCGGCCACACUGGGACUGAGACACGGCACAGACUCCUACGGGAGGCAGCAGUAGGGAAUCUUCGGCAAUGGACGGAAGUCUGACCGAGCAACGCCGCGUGAGUGAAGAAGGGUUUCGGAUCGUAAAGCUCUGUUGUAAGAGAAGAACGAGUGUGAGAGUGGAAAGUUCACACUGUGACGGUAUCUUACCAGAAAGGGACGGCUAACUACGUG
rnacentral:rRNA from 1 species